UUGUUUUUAGACUAGCCAUGCACGUCUAAGUACAAACUAAAUGAUGGUGAAACUGCAAAUGGCUCAUUACAACGGUUAUGAUGUACCCGGGAGUUCCGAUGGAUAUUUCCAGUAACACUAGAACUAAUACAUGUCCCUGCGUUUAUUAGUUUCGCACAGUCCGUCGCUGAGUCAUGGUAAACAGUUGAUCGACUCGACGUCCCGGAACAGUUUCCGCCCCAUCAGCUUCGAUGGUUGGGUAUUGGCCUACCAUUGCAACAACGGGUAACGAGGAAUUAGGGUUUGAUUUCGGAGAGGGAGCCUGAGAAACGGCUACCACAUCUACGGAUGGCAGCAGGCGCGCAAAUUACCCAAUGCAGACACUGUGAGGUAGUGACGAGAAAUAAUAAAGCGGGACUUCUGUUUCGCUAUUAUAAUGAGGAAUAACCAAAGGUCAUUCCGAUUAGCAACUGAUGGGAAAGUCUGGUGCCAGCAGCCGCGGUAAUACCAGCGUCAGUAGC
rnacentral:rRNA from 1 species